GGUGAACGCUGGCGGCGUGCUUAACACAUGCAAGUCGAGCGGAGUAUCUAAACGGAAGUCUUCGGAUGGAAGUUUGGAUACUUAGCGGCGGACGGGUGAGUAACGCGUGGGCAACCUGCCCCAUACCGGGGGAUAACAGCCAGAAAUGGCUGCUAAUACCGCAUAAGCGCACAGCGCCACAUGGCGCGGUGUGAAAAACUCCGGUGGUAUGGGAUGGGCCCGCGUCUGAUUAGGUAGUUGGCGGGGUAACGGCCCACCAAGCCGACGAUCAGUAGCCGACCUGAGAGGGUGACCGGCCACAUUGGGACUGAGACACGGGCCCAAACUCCUACGGGAGGCAGCAGUGGGGAAUAUUGCACAAUGGGGGAAACCCUGAUGCAGCGACGCCGCGUGAGCGAAGAAGUAUUUCGGGUAUGU
rnacentral:rRNA from 1 species